ACAUGCCUACAACAUAAUGUUAAUGCAUUGAAUCCCAUUAGAACUCCAAAGUUAAGUGCGCUCGGGCUAGAGUAGUAUUGGGAUGGGUGAUUGCCUGUGAAGUCCUAGUGUUUUACAUGCA
rnacentral:rRNA from 1 species